CUCAACAAGCGCAGUGAAAUCAUUUCAACAUGCCACCACAGACGGAAACACCUCGUAGGUAACACAUGAGCCAAUCACCACACCCUACGCCUGCCUGUACCCACCCACUCUGUGCCCUAUAUAAACCAUUGUAUGUGAAUGCUUCCAUUAAAACCUCCUGAUGAUUGAGGGAACCCUCAUGAAACAGUUCUGUAGAGAUGAAGUAGUCUUGUGAUUUUUUUCCCACACCUAUAUAUAUAUAUGUAUGUAUGUAUAUAUGUGUGUGUGUGUCCUCAGCUGGUUCAAGUCCUAUCUUGAUCACAGGACAUACUUUGUUGGAAUCGGCAACUGUGGUAACCUUGAGACUCUCACCAUUAAAACUAAUAAUCAAGUUAGAAAUCCAUGGGUAAUAAUGGACUCAGACUUGAACCUUAACAGCAACAUUAGGGCAAUAACUUCAGCAGCUUUUUACCAUCUGAAAAACGGUGCCAAAAACCGAGGGAAUAAUGUAUAAAUCAGACUCAGAAAGACUAAACCAUACCUUUGUCCCCAGCAGGUUAGACUACUGUAAUGGCCUUCUCACUGGGCUCUUUAAAAGCUGCUUAGUACAUCCAAAAUGCUGCUACUCGAGUCCUGACUAGAAGCAGGAAAAUACAACCAUAUUAGUCCAGUGCUUAGGUCUCUGCACUGGCCUCGUGUUGCUCAGAGAAACAGCUCUCCUUUUGUACAAGUCUUUUCAUGGUCUUGUGCCAAAGUACAUCUUUGACAUGUUAGAACCAUAUGAACCAUCUCGGGCUCUGAGAACCUCAGGGAGUGGUCUCCUGCUGGUUUCCAGAGUCAGGACAAAGUAUGGCGAGGCUGUGUUUCAGUUUUGUUCUCCUAAAAUCUUGAAGAGUCCUCCAAAAGAUGUGAGACACACCUUUAGAAAUGUCCAAAUCCAGGCUAAAAACAUUUUUAUUUAACUGUUCAUAUGACAAAUUAUUUUAUCUACAAUAUUUGAUUUGAUUUUAUAUGUUGAUUGUUUUGACGAUGAUUUUAUUCUAUAGUUUGAAUUUGAAUUAUGAUUACUUUUAAGAUUAUUCUGGUUUUAUUUUUGCUUCCUUAUAAAUUUCUGUAAAGCACUUUGAAUUGCGUUGUGUACAAAUUGUGCUCUAUAAAUAAACUUGCCUUGCCCAUUUAUGAGAGGCAUUCCACUCUUCCACUACCACCACAUUCCCCUACUUGGACUAACUGCACACAAUUUGUUGCCAGAGACAUCUCGGGGAUUUUGAGUCUUUCUGCGCUGCAUUUGAGUUCAGUGUGUACAGUUUUUAAAAUCAUAUUAUUAAUGAUAAAUGAUUAAUCUGCAUUAAGGCGCACAUUUUGACAGCCCUUGCUAAACAAAACAAUGUUUACAGUCAACUGGUACAACAAGUUUUACAUGUUGGAGAUAUACUUCCUGCUUGUCCUACCAUCAUGAAACAUUUUGAUUUUUAACAAACUAAAUCUGAAUCAAAACAUUUUAAACAAUUUACAGUGUAUUUUUUUCCCUGUAAUUCUGUAAAAUUGGUAAAGAACCACUACUGCCUGGUGGGAUAUUAACUAUUUUUAUUUUAAAGAAACUUGUAUGAACAAGGUAAAUGAAUAAAUGCAUCAUUGACAACAACACCUUACAGAAAUACCAAUAUUAAUAAACUGUACAACCUACAAAACAUAUCAACAUGGAAUUCUAUCAAAAAUAUAUUCUUAUCACCACAAAAACAAGAGUAUUUAUAAAACAUGAUGACAUAAAUUACCUAAAAUGAGAGAAGUCAUGAAAUAAACUAAGACAUGUUGAGUCAUUCUUGAUGAUCAGCAUUCACAAAUCUAUUUGAUUACGAUUUGAUAGUUUUUAAUGAACUGCUACCAAACUGGUAUUUACAGGUGUCUAUGAGGCUAUGAUUUAUCAAAAGUGAAACCAGUCAGUGAAACAUCAGCAGUAGACUUUCACAACUAGAGCAGAACAAUGAGGUAUAAUAACACAGUUUAAAUUGGCACUCCUCUCUUAAAUUGCCGCUCAUCUCACAAGAUAUGUUGGGUUUCUACUAUUUAGAAAUCACAACAAAAUUAAAAUUAGUUUUUUGAUUUUUUAUGGAAUUACUUUCAUUUGUGUGAACUGUUUUUGAAGGUUUGGUCAUUACAGGGGACUUAAAUGUGCAAGUGGAUGUAGACAAUGACUUGCAUGCUAAAUAACUCGGUGUUGUCCUUGAAAUGUUUGGUCUAACUGGCAUGUAAAGGAGUCCACCCACAGCAGUGUGCACACUCUUCAUUUGGUCAUUGCCAAGAGUCUUGGGAAUGUUGUCGAUGCUGCUUUAUUUGUCUACUUGUCGGUAGACUCAAACCAACAGAUACAUCUGUGGUUGUUCGGGGAAGACUUAAAAAAUGACAGCAUACGGACACAGUUUGUGGAAAUGAUUAGGUUUGAAAAUGUCACGUAUGUUAAUGUUGAUGAUCUGCUGAACUUUUAUACGUCAAGUGUUAUAAAUGUUUUGGGUAGAAUGGUUAAAAGUAGGCAAAAGGCGCCACAGAGAAAUGAAGACCUGGUCUGGGUACAGAAAAGGGAGUGCCGCUGAGCUGAACGGAAAUGUCAAAGUCAAAGCUCCAAUUCUAUUUUGAGAUUUACAAAAGUUAAAUGUUUGCAAUCAAUAAAUCAAUAAAAGUUUAUGGAUAUAGCCCUUAAUCAAAAAUGUCUCAAAGGGUUUCACAAACCACAACAACAUCCUCCGAUCUGAUCCUAAGAAAAAACUUAACCUAAUGGGAACAAUGAAAAACCUUGAAAGUGACCGUAGAUGUGGGCACCCCAACCAGACUUUGUGCAGAACAAAGGAAAAAAAUAUAUAUAUAUCCACUCUGCAGCUAUAUAGUCAAAAAGAGCUGGCAUGUUCCACUCCUGUCACUGACAAAACACUUGAAGAGAUCAUCCACAGUCUGAGGUCAUCAACAUGCUGUCUUGAUGAGUUACCCACUAGAGUUCUAAAGUCUGUGCUGAUCAGUUUGUUACCACAAUUUGCUCAUCUAGUUAACAUCUCACUUCAGACUGGAACAUUCCCCAAGGCCUUAACAUUGCUGUCAUUACCCCCUUUUGAAAGAAGAGAAUUUUAGAUGUCACAUAAAUUAAUCACGUUUGGCCCAUAUCCAACCUGCCAUUCUUGGGCAGAGUCCUAGAAAAAGUUGUAUACCAACAACUCAGUGACUUUGUCCUGUUUAACAAUGUAUUUGAUACUUUCCAAUCGGGCUUUAGGCCCCACCCAGCACUGAAACAGCUCUGAUCAAGGUGACAAAUGAUGUCCGCCAGAACACAGACGCAGAAAAUGUCUUAGUCUAAUUAUAGAGGUUGGAAAACAUGGUGGGAAUAUCUGAUUCUGUCCUUCACUGGUUCAAGUCCUAUAUGGACCACAUUGUUGGAAUCGGCAUCUGUGGUAACCUUGAGACUCUCACCAUUAAAACUAAUAAUCAGGUUAGAAAUCCAGGGGUAAUAAUGGACUCAAACUUGAACCUUAACAGCAACAUUAGGUCAAAAACAUCAGCAGCUUUUUACCAUCUGAAAAACAGCGCCAAAAACCGGGGGAAUAAUGUAUAAAUCAGACUCAGAAAGACUAAUCCAUACCUUUGUCCCCAGCAGGUUAGACUACUGUAAUGGCCUUCUCACUGACCUCUCUAAAAUGCUGCUGCUCGAGUCCUGACUAGAAGCAGGAAUAUACGACCAGUGCUUAGGUCUCUGCACUGGCCUCGUGUUGCUCAGAGAAACGGCUCUCCUUUUGUACAAAUAUUUUCAUGGUCUUGUGCCAAAGUACAUUUUGACAUGUUAGAACCAUAUGAACCAUCUCGGGCUCUGAGAACCUCAGGGAGUGGUCUCCUGCUGGUUUCCAGAGUCAGGACAAAGUAUGGUGAGGCUGUGUUUCAGUUUUGUGCUCCUAAAAUCUUGAAGAGUCCUCCAAAAGAUGGGAGACACGCCUUUAGAAAUGUCCAAAUCCAGGCUAAAAACAUUUUUAUUUAACUGUUCAUAUGACAACUUAAAUUAUUUUAUCUACAUUAUUUGAUGUUAUUUUAAAUGUUGAUUGUUUUUAUGAUGAUUUUAUUCUAUGGUUUGAAUUUGAAUUAUGAUUACUUUUAAGAUUAUUCUGGUUUUAUUUUUGCUUCCUUAUAAAUUUCUGUAAAGCACUUUGAAUUGCGUUGUGUACAAAUUGUGCUCUAUAAAUAAACUUGCCUUGCCCAUUUAUGAGAGGCAUUCCACUCUUCCACUACCACCACAUUCCCCUACUUGGACUAACUGCACACAAUUUGUUGCCAGAGACAUCUCGGGGAUUUUGAGUCUUUCUGCACUACAUUUGAGUUCAGUGUGUACGGUUUUAAAAAUCAUAUUAUUAAUGAAAAACGAUUAAUCUGCAUUAAGGUGCACAUUUUGACAGCCCUUGCUAAACAAAACAAUGUUUACAGUCAACUGGUACAACAAGUUUUACAUGUUGGAGAUAUACUUCCUGCUUGUCCUACCAUCAUGAAACAUUUUGAUUUUUAACAAACUAAAUCUGAAUCAAAACAUUUUAAACAAUUUACAUUGUAUUUUUUCCCUGUAAUUCUGUAAAAUUGGUAAAGAACCACUACUGCCUGGUGGGAUAUUAACUAUUUUUCUUUUAAAGAAACUUGUAUGAACAAGGUAAAUGAAUAAAUGCAUCAUUGACAACAACACCUUACAGAAAUACCAAUAUUAAUAAACUGUACAACCUACAAAACAUAUCAACAUGGAAUUCUAUCAAAAAUAUAUUCUUAUCACCACAAACACAAGAGUAUUUAUAAAACAUGAUGACAUAACUUACCUAAAACGAGAGAAGUCAUGAAAUAAACUAAGACAUGUUGAGUCAUUCUUGAUGAUCAGCUUUCACAAAAAUCUAUUUGAUUACAAGUCCAUGUUUUUUUCAUGAACUGCUACCGAACUGAUAUUUACAGGUGUCUAUGAGGCUGUGAUUUGUCAAAAGUGAAACCAGUUAGUGAAACAUCAGCAGUAGACUUUCACAACAAGAGCAGAACAAUGAGGUAUAAUUGGCACUGCGCUCUUAAAUUGUUGCUCAUCUUGUUAUGGACUGAGAAGAGAAGGUGGCGACAAUCGGUUUACCAGGUUUAUGGAAACCAAUGUUCCCUCUAAUUUUUCAUGUUUGAGCAUUCAGGGGAGCACAUGUGAGCAACAUCAGAUAUGCACACUGUGGCCACACCAGCGUCACACGCUUGUACAGUAGAUGGCAGUAUUGUCCUGUUUAAGAGUGUCACAACAUUGCUGUUUACGGCAGCCGAACUGCUUUACGGUACACGAAAAGGUGACUGCUGUUGUUGUGUGUUGUUACCGCGCUGGGUGGACGUUAAUGAAACUGCCUAACAAUAAACCCACGUAAGAAACCAAGAACUCGCCCUCAAUCAUUCUGCAGUUAUGACGUCAUUGGGCAGACACGCUGUUUAUAUUAUGGGAUAGCGGAUGUGAAAACAGGCUGUCUUCACUCAGGUCCGCAUGGAGCUGGAGGGGGCGAGGCCUCCAGCUCCGCCUGAAUUUCGGGAGAUUUUCGGGAGAAAAUUUGCCCGGGGAGGUUUUUUUAAAAGACAUAGGGUCCAAAACGUAGGAUAAAAGUAUUAUAGUCCGAAAUUGACGGUACAUUUAACAGCCUUUUCUUCUUUGUGGGGUUUGGUUCCUUUCGACGUCUGAUCCAAACCACCAGUUGUAUCUUCUUUAACACAAAAAUGACUUGUUGACAUACAUGAAGCAUAAAAGCUUGGAAAUAAAUGUUCUUGUUUGUUUGCAGUCCUGAGCAGGAAGUCCAGAAGAUCUUCAAAUCCAAACACCCAAUGGACACUGAGGUCACCAAAGCCAAGAUUAUAGGUUUUGGUGUGGGUUUGCUGGAGGGCGUUGAUCCUAACCCUGCAAACUUUGUCGGAGCUGGAGUGGUCCACACUAAAUGUUCUCAGGUGGGAUGCACUGCUACGCUCUUGGAAGCCCAUCACACUAGUGAUAUAUAUAAAUAUAUAUUUUACCUUUUUGCACUUUUGAAGGGCAGUAUGACAUCACACCCGAGACCUUUGCCAUGGUGCCUCCUUUACACUCUUCUUCUACACACACUUUGUACUGUAGCUCACUCUGGUGCCUUUGUCUCACUGAAACACUAGCAGCACAGUGCCUCACUACUUCUACCUGAAUGCACACACUAAAUAUUUCUAUUUUCACCGCCUUCACUCGCUCAUUAAAUGCUCCUCACUGCCUUAGGAGAUAUUUUUUUCAACUGUUUGAAAAUAAAACCGUCUCCUCCUCAA